rnacentral:piRNA from 1 species
ACACCGUUGAAGGUAGCUGCCGAA